GGAAUAUUUAGCACUUUGAAGCAUUAUAAAAGUAGAUACAAAUGCUACUUAAGAUUUCAUUUUCUUCAGGAGGCUAUGAAUUAGUCUCGCAGCUGGAGGAUUACCUCUCAAUUUCUACCUUAAAGGGAUACCUUAAAGGAACAUUUUAUUACAAAAAUCUAUAUCAAAAGUGAAUAAAAACCCUCUUGAACGACAAACAUACUUCAAGAUGAUUAAAUGCUAAAAUAUUUAUAAUUAAAUAUUAUUCACAAAUAAUGGAAUAAUCAAUUAACUUACAAAUAAUAAAAUAUAUAAUUAUGUAA
rnacentral:lncRNA from 1 species